rnacentral:misc_RNA from 1 species
CUCUAGCACCUUAUGCGCCUAGGCAUUCGCCUUUGUUUCAGGCACAAGCUUUUAGAAAGGCAUACCCUCUUUAUUUUCACCUUUAGCAAGCACUCUCAUUGGCAAAAAGCACCACUGCUUAAACUUGAUAUUUGUCGAUCUAUAAGAAUCCUACACACUACGAAGUUUUUAGAAUCAAUAUGUGAUAACUAGUCAUCAAAACCUCAUCAAACCAACACCUCCAAAAUCGCAAAAUCUCCCAUAUUUCCAUUUUCAAUACUACCACUCAUCUUUUUCAAAUAAAAAAAAGUUGAUACUCCUUUAAUUCUAAAAGAUGAGGAAAAUAAUGAAGAUAUUGAUUUUGAAG